rnacentral:RNase_P_RNA from 1 species
AUAGUGUGUCGGUCUAUCGCGGGAUAAGGGAAGAAAAACAUGUGUUUUAAUCCCCUAUUACGAGGAAAGUCCGGGCAGCAAAGAGCACCACAGCGGUUAAUGGCCGUCAGGCAGCAAUGUUUGGUCCCUGCAAAAGCGACGAACAAUCGAGUUAUCGAGGAAGUGAUACGAGCAUACUGUGGGCUGCAAUUCCAAGUAUACCAGUGUUUGAGCGCUGCUCGCGCAAGCUGGAGGGUAGGAAGCAAGAGAAGCAUGUAGCAAUACACUGCUCAAGAUUAAUGAUAGACACCCACUCAUGGGUACAGAACCCGGCUUAUAGAUACACUAUUUUU